rnacentral:rRNA from 1 species
UGUGGGGAGGUAAAUUCUCCUAAGGCUAAAUAUUGGCGAGAGACCGAUAGCGAACAAGUACCGUGAGGGAAAGAUGAAAAGUACUUUGAAAAGAGAGUUAAAUAGCACGUGAAAUUGUUGAAAGGGAAACGAUUGAAGCCAGUCGUACCUACGGGUAAUCAACCUUUCGGGAGCGAUUCUGUGGGCUUUGAGGAGCUUAACGGCCCUCGGGUUUUCAUAUUCGUACCCUUUGGGUGUACUUUCCCGGUGGUAGGUUAACAUCAAUUCCGGGUUCAG